CGUGCAAGCGUUAAUCGGAAUUACUGGGCGUAGAGCGCACGCAGGCGGUUGGAUAAGUUAGAUGUGAAAGCCCCGGGCUCAACCUGGGAAUUGCAUUUAAAACUGUCCAGCUAGAGUCUUGUAGAGGGGGGUAGAAUUCCAGGUGUAGCGGUGAAAUGCGUAGAGAUCUGGAGGAAUACCGGUGGCGAAGGCGGCCCCCUGGACAAAGACUGACGCUCAGGUGCGAAAGCGUGGGGAGCAAACAGGAUUAGAUACCCUGGUAGUCCACGCCGUAAACGAUGUCKAUUUGGAGGCUGUGUCCUUGAGACGUGGCUUCCGGAGCUAACGCGUUAAAUCGACCGCCUGGGGAGUACGGCCGCAAGGUU
rnacentral:rRNA from 1 species